CUUUUAUCCAGAGAGGUGGAGGGACGUGGCCCAAAGAAACCUCGGCAGCAGAUCAUUAUGACACUGUGCCAAUUCCAUCAGGCUAUUAUGUCUGGAAGAUAAGAU
rnacentral:ncRNA from 1 species